AGUGAACGCUGGCGGUAGGCCUAACACAUGCAAGUCGAACGGCAGCACAGUAAGAGCUUGCUCUUACGGGUGGCGAGUGGCGGACGGGUGAGGAAUACAUCGGAAUCUACUUUUUCGUGGGGGAUAACGUAGGGAAACUUACGCUAUUACCGCAUACGACCUACGGGUGAAAGCAGGGGAUCUUCGGACCUUGCGCGAUUGAAUGAGCCGAUGUCGGAUUAGCUAGUUGGCGGGGUAAAGGCCCACCAAGGCGACGAUCCGUAGCUGGUCUGAGAGGAUGAUCUGCCACACUGGAACUGAGACACGGUCCAGACUCCUACGGGAGGCAGCAGUGGGGAAUAUUGGACAAUGGGCGCAAGCCUGAUCCAGCCAUACCGCGUGGGUGAAGAAGGCCUUCGGGUUGUAAAGCCCUUUUGUUGGGAAAGAAAAGCAGCAGGUUAAUACCCCGCUGUUCUGACGGUACCCAAAGAAUAAGCACCGGCUAACUUCGUG
rnacentral:rRNA from 1 species